CUCAGUUAUUAUAAUAGAAUACAAGAGAAUGAGUUUUAGUCUUCAAUAAAUACUUUCACCAUUCAAACCACCACAUAACACCCACUAUCUAUCACUCCCUCAACCUCGGCUCUCACAUUGUCUAAAACUUAUUUUAACCACACUUAAAUUACCCUAAUUCAACUUUGGAGUCUUGCAAGUUCCAGGCCCUUCAUCCUUUGUUCUUCCUUCUUGCUAAUCCUUGGGAUGCCUUAGUAUUAGCAUACACAAAACGAGCUUAUGGUUCAAGUCAGUUUUAUCUUGCACAAGAAUAUCAAGGUUUCACAUACGAACUAUGGCACGGUUGGAAUAGGAGAACCCUUUGGAAUUCAAGUACUUAGCAGGCGUUCAACUGUCUAGAAGUCUUAGCAUUCUACUUUCGUUGUGCAAUGAAGAUACCGGUCGGAUCACCCCGGGUUUUGCGGGUGUGACAGAUAAAACAUAAAUGAAGUCACUUAAACUAACCCAAAUCAAAAUAGCAUAAACGUAAAAAUAAGCACAAGAGCGACAAAAGCGUGUAAAAACUUUUUCAACUUAAAGCCAAAAUCAUAUACUCGUGGUCAAACUGUUAUGCGACUUUGAAAUUGAGUAUAGCAAACGUCAAACCGCAUAGCAAAAAAACGGGGAAACAAAUCACUUCUUUCAUUGGGUGAUUUGAGUAUUGCAAUCCCCCCCCCCCCAUUCAUGUAAUUUUUAGAAAAAAGUCAUAUAAAAACUCACUCCAUCCGCAUUAUUGCCUAGUGGAGAUGGAUGUGAUCGGGUGGUUCCGUUGGUGGCACGAUGAUACUCCAGUUGUAACGGAUAUACAUUGUUAGAUCAUGUAACGAAACAGAGUUUAGUCAAGACCUUGGCUACAUAUCACUCUUUACUUCUGUAAUCAUUACUGAUAGGUUGACCAACAACAAAACCGACAGGACUCUAUAAGAACAGUUGGUGGAGGUGGCGAGCUUAUUUGAAGACUUUGAACAGCAUCCGCACUAGUACGGGGAUUUAAGUUUAGAUGGCAAGCCACUUAGUCUAUUCCACGGAUACGACCCCAAAUCUGCUGAACACUCAUUUCAUGGGUGGUACUACGAGAAGUUCGUUUGUUUCAGAACACAAAUAACUAUGAAAUUUGGGAAAUAGAAGUAUCAUAUGCAAAACAUAAACAUAUGUUUCUAAAGAGAGGUUCACGAAAUCAUAUGUACGUUGAGAGUACCCUUGCACAGGUCUUAAGAAGGUUCAUCUGGUUGUAUAUAUUUUUGUUGAAUCAUAUAUUUAGAAUCACGUCACGAGGCCUAAUAACAUAUGCAACAGAAGGACAGCCCUGAUAUCCCGGAUGACUCAACAACAUAAAGACUCGAAACCUCGGACAUUGGCUAUCUAUCAACGCAAGAUUUAAGACCGUAAAAUCAUACGUCGAUGGUAUGUUACCCACGUGAUACAUAUCUGUUUGUAUCACUUAGUAUAUUUUAUCGCUUUGAGCGUUAAGCUUACCGACGUAUCACAAUAGAUCCUAGUCUUUUCAGCUAUAACACCUUACGUGUGUUGGUCAAACCCUUAACCAAAUCAAAGCCAACCAUAUCCAAAUCAAAGCACAAUCUGUUUGCAUUAUUUAAUCACCAUUGACACAUAUCUGCAGGCAGAUACUCCUAACUCAACCCUAAAUUCAUAGCAUCUACAAUCGAAGCUCCAACUCUUCUAGAUUGCGAUUCCACUGGCAACAGGUCUCACAAGUUUGUUGUUAUCUUCCUGAUAUGGCUCAGCAAAUUAUAGAAUAUAACAUUGUCUACAUGAGAGGUGGAGAGUGGGAAUCCUUAUAUAACGGUACCAUGAGGUUCAACGGAUGGCCCGAAACAACACAAAUUUUUAUGACAAGUGAUACGUCGUAUGCGAUGUUUGUUGACCAUAUUAGAGAAAAUAUGCUUUUCAUUCCCGGUCAAGAAAUGGAUCCACGCUAUAUCGUUCAUCAAGGAGAAAGACGAAUGAGCAUUAUAGGUAUGAUCUUAAGGAAUGAGAGACACUAUCUCCAAUUCCUUCAACACGUAAGAAGACACCCACAACAUCAGAGUGUUCUAAUGACCGUCGAUCCAUUAAGUUAUGUUUCUGUUUUUAGCUCAUUUGUUCAAUUUUCACUUCUUAUCGAUAUUCUCUGCGAGAGCAUUUGCAAUUCAAGUAGGGAAUGAUAAAUAUGUGGCCUAGCUUUGUUUGUUUUAGGGCCUAGGUGUUUAAUACACUUCUAUGCAUGUGAUUUGGUUUAUCUUGUUUUC